GACUCCUAUGAUGAUUAAAUAAAAAUUUUAGUUCUUCCUAGGUGGCAAAUCAUGCGGAAUAAACACGGAGACCUGAACUGAUGAGUA